rnacentral:lncRNA from 1 species
AAAAAAAAAGCAUUUACACAAAAACUUUCUUAUAAGAAUAAAGAGUAUAUAGAAUAUAUAAUAUUUAACUUAUCAGUACUCUAGUGUCAACAUCACACUAGCAAAUUCAGAAACAAAGGGAUCCGCAUUCCCCAAGCGCCUGUGAUUAUAGCUGAUGGAAAGAGCGCAAAUCUAUAUUUUAUAAAAAUGCAAAUAUUUCACCUUACAUUUCCAAGAAAGACAUUAACAUCAAAUAUUUCACCUUACAUUUCCAAGAGAGGCAUUAACAUAAAAUCAUCCAAAAAAAGAAUAAAGAGUAUAUAGAAUAUAUAAUAUUCAAAUUAUCAACAAUCGAUCUGGAAAAUUCAGGAAAAAGGGGUCUAUUUUCAAGGCGCCUGUAAUUAUAUGAUUAUAGCAAUUGGAUAGAUGUAUGCCUCUUCGUCGCAGAUCUAUUUUAUAAAUAUACAAAUAUUUCACAACAUAUAAAUAACUUACACUUCGUAAAGAAACAUUUAAAUAAAAUAUUCCAAAUAAGAAUAGAGAGUAUACAGAAUAUAUAAUAUUCAAAUUAACGGAAUUCGAUUGUCAACAUUUCACAAGCAAAAUCAGAAAAGGGAGAUCCAUUCCCAAGG